GUACACGCUGUGACUAGCAUAUCAAUAAGCGGAGGAAAAGAAACUAACAAGGAUUCCCCUAGUAACGGCGAGUGAAGCGGGAAGAGCUCAAAUUUGAAAUCUUAAAGGGUUUCCCUUUACGAAUUGUAGUUUAAAGAAGUGUUUUCUGUUGAGGUUUUGGUAAAAGUUCUUUGGAAUAGGACAUCAUAGAGGGUGAGAAUCCCGUAUUUGACCUUUACUUUCAACUUUGUGAUACACUUUCAAAGAGUCGGAUUGUUUGGGAAUGCAGUCCAAAAUGGGUGGUAAAUUUCAUCUAAAGCUAAAUAUUGGCGAGAGACCGAUAGCGAACAAGUACCGUGAGGGAAAGAUGAAAAGAACUUUGAAAAGAGAGUUAAACAGUACGUGAAAUUGUCAAAAGGGAAGCGUUUGACACCAGUGUUGUUUUUCUGAAAAUCAAUUAAAGAACUGUUUAUGCUAAGCUGUUUAGACUUUAUCAGCUAUCUGUUUAGUUUUGAGCUUUUCUUUAAUGCACUUUUCAGUUAACAAGUCAACAUCAAUUUCUUUUGCUGUAAAAAAGCUUGAGGAAGGUGGCUUGAGAUUCGUCUUAAGUGUUUAUAGCCUCUUGCCUAUGCAGUCGGAGAGAUUGAGGUCUGCAGCGUAGAUCCUUCGGGGCUAAAUGCAUUUGUGCUAAGUUAUAGCAUUUCAUAGACAACUUGUUGACUAUGAUUUGUCUUGUAGCUUACUCGCUUAUGUUAUUUUACCUACGCUUAGGAUGUUGAUAUGCAUGACUGAUAU
rnacentral:rRNA from 1 species